AUAUUUUUCCUGCCACCGAAUACAUUAGCAUGGGAUAAUGGAAUAGGACCCUGACCUCCUAUUUUCAGUUGGUUUUGUUUACAGCGAGGUUAUAUCAGGGUAAUGAUUAAUAGGGAUAGUUGGGGGCAUUAAUAUUUAAUUGUCAGAGGUGAAAUUCUUGGAUUUAUGAAAGAUUAACUUCUGCGAAAGCGUUUGCCAAGGAUGUUUUCAUUAAUCAAGAACGAAAGUUAGGGGAUCGAAGACGAUCAGAUACCGUCGUAGUCUUAACCAUAAACGAUGCCGACCAGCGAUUAGGAGACGUUGAAUACAAAACACCGCUGUUAAUCCUUUCGGGGGUUAAUAGUUGGUGAAUGACUCCCUAGCAGCUUGUGAGAAAA
rnacentral:rRNA from 1 species